rnacentral:rRNA from 1 species
GGCGGACGGGUGAGUAAUGCCUAGGGAUCUGCCCAGUCGAGGGGGAUAACAGUUGGAAACGACUGCUAAUACCGCAUACGCCCUACGGGGGAAAGGAGGGGACCUUCGGGCCUUUCGCGAUUGGAUGAACCUAGGUGGGAUUAGCUAGUUGGUGAGGUAAUGGCUCACCAAGGCGACGAUCCCUAGCUGUUCUGAGAGGAUGAUCAGCCACACUGGGACUGAGACACGGCCCAGACUCCUACGGGAGGCAGCAGUGGGGAAUAUUGCACAAUGGGCGAAAGCCUGAUGCAGCCAUGCCGCGUGUGUGAAGAAGGCCUUCGGGUUGUAAAGCACUUUCAGUAGGGAGGAAAGGGUAUUGCUUAAUACGCAAUAUCUGUGACGUUACCUACAGAAGAAAGACCGGCUAACUCCGUGCCAGCAGCCGCGGUAAUACGGAGGGUCCGAGCGUUAAUCGGAAUUACUGGGCGUAAAGCGUGCGCACGCGGUUUGUUAAGCCAGAUGUGAAAUCCCCGGGCUCAACCUGGGAAUUGCAUUUGGAACUGGCGAACUAUAGUCUUGUAGAGGGGGGUAGAAUUCCAGGUGUAGCGGUGAAAUGCGUAGAGAUCUGGAGGAAUACCGGUGGCGAAAGCGGCCCCCUGGACAAAGACUGACGCUCAUGCACGAAAGCGUGUGGAGCAAACAGGAUUAGAUACCCUGGUAGUCCACGCCGUAAACGAUGUCUACUCGGAGUUUGGUGCCUUGAGCACUGUGCUCUC